UCCCUUUUUUUCCGGUCUGGUAACCCGGGCCAGCAGGCGGCCGUACGGAUGUGGAGCUGCAGGGCUCGGUCCCUGCUGUGCGUGUGGGAGGUGCGGCUGGCUAGGUUCCUUGGUAGGAGCCUGCUGAGCAGCAAUGCCGCCUCGGGAAAGAGCAUCGAGCCGCAGUGCUGGAACUGCGGCCGCGCGAUGGGAGCCGGGCGUGGGGAUGAGUUUUUCUGCGCACACUGCCGCGCGCUGCAGCCUCCUGACCCCACUCGGGACUACUUCAGCCUCAUGAACUGCAACCAAUCCUUCAGGGUUGACAUCAGAAAACUUCAACAAAGGUACCAGCAACUACAGCGCCUUAUCCACCCAGAUUUCUUCAGCCAAAAGUCUCAGACUGAGAAACGGUUCUCGGAGAAGCAUUCGACCCUGGUGAAUGAUGCCUACAAGACUCUUCAGGCUCCCCUGAGCAGAGGACUAUAUCUUGUAAGCUAAAGCUCCAAGGAAUAGAAAUUCCUGAAGGGACAGAUUAUAGAACAGACAGUCAGUUCCUUGUGGAAAUCAUGGAAAUCAAUGAAAAACUCGCAGACGCCCAAAGUGAGGCGGCCAUGGAAGAGGUAGAAGCCACUGUCAGAGCUAAACAGAAAGAAUUUACGGACAAUAUAAACAGAGCUUUUGAACAAGGUGAUUUUGAAAAAGCCAAGGAACUUCUUACAAAGAUGAGAUACUUUUCAAACAUAGAAGAAAAGAUCAAGUUAAGCAAGACCCCUCUCUAGUUGCUAUCUUAAAGUUUUAAAAAUAAACUUUGUAUUUCUUU